rnacentral:rRNA from 1 species
ACUCUCGGGGGUAGAGCACUGGAUGGGCUAUGGGGGCUUACCGCCUUACUGAUCCUAACCAAACUCCGAAUACCGAGAAGUACUAUCCGGCAGACACACAGUGGGUGCUAACGUCCAUUGUGGAGAGGGAAACAACCCUGACCGCCAGUUAAGGUCCCUAAGUUAUGGCUAAGUGGGAAAGGAUGUAGAACUCCCAAAACAACCAGGAUGUUGGCUUAGAAGCAGCCAUCAUUUAAAGAAAGCGUAACAGCUCACUGGUCUAAUUAAGGGGUUUUGCGCCGAAAAUGUAACGGGGCUAAAGCCAUGCACCGAAGCUUUGGGUUCACCGCAAGGUGAGCGGUAGCGGAGCGUUCCGUAGGCCGAUGAAGGAGGAUCCGUGAGGACUUCUGGAGGUAUCGGAAGUGCGAAUGCUGACAUGAGUAACGAUAAAGGGGGUGAGAGACCCCCUCGCCGAAAGACCAAGGGUUCCUGCUUAAAGUUAAUCUGAGCAGGGUUAGCCGGCCCCUAAGGCGAGGCCGAAA